AGGAAAGAUAGUUCAAUUGGUAGAACUUUGGUCUCCAAAGCCAAGGGUUGGGGGUUCAAGUCCCUCCCUUUCUUUUUGU
rnacentral:tRNA from 1 species